ACUUCUGUGAACAAAGAGCGCCAAAAUCGUACUCGAGAGGAUCCGUUUCGGUAAAUUUCGCUCUCGAUAAAUUUCAGAAAAAUUUCGGAUUCGGUAAAUUUCAGUGACUUAAGACACAAGGUGCAGUGCCCUGUGACCUGAAUCUAGCACCAUUGUAGCUCCAUAUUUUUUUGGAUGUUUUGAUUCUUUUUUCUUCUCUGGAGAAACCCUAGAAUUAUCGCGAUGGAGUUAGGGUUUGGGGAGAGGGAUUUCACGGCUUGUUGCGGUAGCAAGAAAUUUGCAGAGGAGAUGAGCAGAGCCGGGCCCUUCACCUCUCUUGAGCAGGCAUUAGAAGCAUCAAGAGACAUCUGGUUUAACAAGGUUGAUAUAAAUGGCUGGCUUGAAGCUUUUGCUGCUCACCCACAAAUUGGAGAAACCCCAUCUGUUAAUGAGAAAAAUGAGACAAGUGCAAAGUGGAGCAAAGGAGAGCAAUCAAUAGCUCUUGCGACUGCUAGUAAUUGUAGUUUGCAGGAACUCUCUGAAUGGAAUUCCUGGUAUAAGCAAAAGUUUGGAUUUGUUUUCCUUACAUGUGCAUCUGGGAAGAGCUCAGCUGAAAUACUUGGAGAAUUGAAGAAACGCUUCUCAAAUAGGCUCAUUGUUGAACUUGAGAUUGCUGCUCAGGAGCAGAUGAAAAUAACAGAGUUGCGCCUUGUAAAGCUCUUUGAUGCCAGAGAUUCAAGAACUCCUCAUGCCAUUAACCAGCCUCCUACUGGCUCCAUGUUGAAACAAGAUUUUCGGGUUGUUGCAGAUGAGCGUAUCGGGAGAAUUGGAGCACAUUUAAGCCUUAGCACUGAUAAAACAUUAGCAGUGCCAUCAAGAACCCGUCCGCCCAUUACCACACAUGUUUUAGAUGUUUCAGUUGGGCGACCAGGAGUUGGCAUUGAGGUGAGUCUUGAGAAGUGGGAAGGAAGUGGGUCGCUAGGGUUUUCCAAUGCACAAAAUGUUGAUGGUUGGUCACUGUUGGGUGCAUCAGUCACUGACUCAGAUGGCCGGAGUGGGCGGCUGUUGCCGGUAGUGGACCGUGUGCCUAAUGGGUAUUAUCGGAUAAGUUUUAAUACUGGCAAGUAUUUGAAGGCGGGGUUUUUUCCUUAUGUUUCGAUCGUAUUUGAGAUCAAGGAGACACAGGUGUUGGAACAUUUUCAUGUUCCAUUGCUGCUCUCUCCAUAUUCUUUCAGCACCUACCGGGGGAGCUAGGACUUCUCCAUCCCUUGCAUUUAGAUUUCAAGUUUUCUCUCUCCCUCUCUGGUCUUGCAUCAACUAGAGUUGAAAAUGCCCCAUUUCACCUUCACUAAUCUCUCUCUCUCUGGACUUGAAUGCAACUAGCGGCAUAAGUUUCUGAUUUCAGCUUGACCGCUGUGUGUGUGUGUGUGAAGCUGUGAUGGGGUUGUGGCUUACCUGUAAACUUGGGCUGGAGGCCCCAAAUUAUACAAGGAGUUUGAUAGCUAAGGACAGGUCUCAAUUGUUCUUUUGAAGUCAAGUGAGAGCCUUUUCAACUGAAAGGACUGUAUUUUGUUUCUCUCUAAAUUAGGUUCCUAUUUCAUGGUUUGUAUGCUAUAAGAACCUUUAUCUUUACCUCAGAAUGGUUGCAAUUAUCCCUGGUUAUCAAUUGCAAAAGUGCGGGGCGCAUAAUUUCCGUGCACAAAGCUUGGGGAUAUGUUACACUUUUCAGGCCCCGUCAAUGAUAACAGCCUCGGCCAAUGUUCGAAAAUUUGGCGAGUCCGGCUGCAGCCAAAAUCCCGAGGCGGGGCCUAGGGCGUUCUUGCUCUUAGGCACCCACCUCGGCGUAGGCAGUAGACUCAAGGCGGUCGUCUUGGAACAACUUGGCUGAGGGCAGAGAAAGGUCCCUUGGGCAAGGGUCCCUUUCCCCUCCCCUCCCUUAUCAAUCACUGAUUUUGGCUGCACUAACGGAAAUUGUGGGCUAUUGGCGAACA